rfam:Branchiostoma floridae genomic scaffold BRAFLscaffold_192, whole genome shotgun sequence.
GUGUGUUUGUGUGUGGAUGGUGUUCAGCACCAGGGACAAGUGUGUUUGUGUGUGGAUGGUGUUCAGCACCAAGGACAGAUGUGUUUGUGU